rnacentral:tRNA from 2 species
GUCGAUAUGUCCGAGUGGUUAAGGUAGACUAGACUUGAUAUCUGUUGGGCUACGCCCGCGCAGGUUCGAACCCUGCUGUCGACG